AUACGUAGGGCGCGAGCGUUGUCCGGAAUUACUGGGCGUAAAGAGCUCGUAGGUGGUUUGUCGCGUCGUCUGUGAAAUUCCGGGGCUUAACUCCGGGCGUGCAGGCGAUACGGGCAUAACUUGAGUACUGUAGGGGAGACUGGAAUUCCUGGUGUAGCGGUGAAAUGCGCAGAUAUCAGGAGGAACACCGGUGGCGAAGGGGGGUCUCUGGGCAGUAACUGACGCUGAGGAGCGAAAGCAUGGGUAGCGAACAGGAUUAGAUCCCCUGGUAGUCCAUGCCGUAAACGGUGGGCGCUAGGUGUAGGGGUCUUCCACGACUUCUGUGCCGUAGCUAACGCAUUAAGCGCCCCGCCUGGGGAGUACGGCCGCAAGGCUAAAACUCAAAGGAAUUGACGG
rnacentral:rRNA from 1 species